rfam:Dipodomys ordii contig_98684, whole genome shotgun sequence.
ACCACUGAGCCACCUUCCCAGCCCUACAAUACCUCUUUAUAACUCUUGUUUCUUGGGCUGGGAAGGUGGCUCAGUGGU